CAGGCUUUUCACACAGCCACGAGACUGCGAGGAAAAGUCCUCUGAAAACUUAUUAUAUGAAAGUUUCCAUCAUCGCGUCUCUGUCACAAAAGUAGAAGACAACGUCCUUUAUGAGAGUUUAUCGUUUGCUGAAGGAAGAGAAGAGGAGAAGAACAAAGAGAGUGAAAGUCAUCUUCAUUACAAAACAAUCACGUGAACGAAUUGCCUUCACUCAACCUCGCUUUUUGCCACAGCUGUGGUUUCCCACCAAAGGAGACAAAAUACAGGAGGGAGAGCCUUUUUUUUGAA